rnacentral:rRNA from 1 species
UUAGAGUUUGAUCCUGGCUCAGGAUGAACGCUGGCGGCGCGCCUAACACAUGCAAGUCGAACGGCACCCAUCUUCGGAUGGAAGCGAGUGGCGAACGGCUGAGUAACACGUGGAGAACCUGCCCCCUCCCCCGGGAUAGCCGCCCGAAAGGACGGGUAAUACCGGAUACCCCGGGGUGCCGCAUGGCACCCCGGCUAAAGCCCCGACGGGAGGGGAUGGCUCCGCGGCCCAUCAGGUAGACGGCGGGGUGACGGCCCACCGUGCCGACAACGGGUAGCCGGGUUGAGAGACCGACCGGCCAGAUUGGGACUGAGACACGGCCCAGACUCCUACGGGAGGCAGCAGUGGGGAAUCUUGCGCAAUGGGGGGAACCCUGACGCAGCGACGCCGCGUGCGGGACGGAGGCCUUCGGGUCGUAAACCGCUUUCAGCAGGGAAGAGUCAAGACUGUACCUGCAGAAGAAGCCCCGGCUAACUACGUGCCAGCAGCCGCGGUAAUACGUAGGGGGCGAGCGUUAUCCGGAUUCAUUGGGCGUAAAGCGCGCGUAGGCGGCCCGGCAGGCCGGGGGUCGAAGCGGGGGGCUCAACCCCCCGAAGCCCCCGGAACCUCCGCGGCUUGGGUCCGGUAGGGGAGGGUGGAACACCCGGUGUAGCGGUGGAAUGCGCAGAUAUCGGGUGGAACACCGGUGGCGAAGGCGGCCCUCUGGGCCGAGACCGACGCUGAGGCGCGAAAGCUGGGGGAGCGAACAGGAUUAGAUACCCUGGUAGUCCCAGCCGUAAACGAUGGACGCUAGGUGUGGGGGGACGAUCCCCCCGUGCCGCAGCCAACGCAUUAAGCGUCCCGCCUGGGGAGUACGGCCGCAAGGCUAAAACUCAAAGGAAUUGACGG